AAAGAAACUAACAAGGAUUCCCCUAGUAACGGCGAGUGAAGCGGGAAGAGCUCAAAUUUAAAAUCUGGCUUGCUUGCAAGUCCGAGUUGUAGUCUGAAGAAACGUUUUCCAUGAAAGCUGAGGCACAAGUCUUUUGGAACAAGGCAUCAUAGAGGGUGAGAAUCCCGUCCAUGGUCUCAUGCAUUUCAUUUUGUGAUACGUUUUCUAAGAGUCAGGUUGUUUGGGAAUGCAGCCUAAAAUGGGUGGUAAAUUUCAUCUAAAGCUAAAUAUUGGCGAGAGACCGAUAGCGAACAAGUACCGUGAGGGAAAGAUGAAAAGAACUUUGAAAAGAGAGUUAAAAAGUACGUGAAAUUGUUGAAAGGGAACCGUUUGAAGCCAGUCUUGCUUACUUGUGAUCAAUCUUAGCUUCGGCUUGGAUGCACUCUCGAGUUAUGCAGGUCAACGUCAGUUUGAGAGGUGAGAAAAAAGUUUGAGGAAUGUGGCCUUCGGGUGUUAUAGCCUCUUACUAAAUAUCAUCUCCUGGACUGAGGCUCGCAGCAAAAAUGUGGGUUGGUUUGCUCCUGAGGUGAAUCAUUAUUAAGACAGCUUGCUGACUUAGUUUUGUGGAUCUUCACGGUAGACCAGCUUCUAAUUUGCUUAGGUCGUUGACAUAAUGGCUUUAAAUGAC
rnacentral:rRNA from 1 species